rnacentral:rRNA from 1 species
GGGAUAACACUUGGAAACAGGUGCUAAUUCCGUAUAACACUAUUUUCCGCAUGGAAGAAAGUUGAAAGGCGCUUUUGCGUCACUGAUGGAUGGACCCGCGGUGCAUUAGCUAGUUGGUGAGGUAACGGCUCACCAAGGCCACGAUGCAUAGCCGACCUGAGAGGGUGAUCGGCCACACUGGGACUGAGACACGGCCCAGACUCCUACGGGAGGCAGCAGUAGGGAAUCUUCGGCAAUGGACGAAAGUCUGACCGAGCAACGCCGCGUGAGUGAAGAAGGUUUUCGGAUCGUAAAACUCUGUUGUUAGAGAAGAACAAGGAUGAGAGUAGAACGUUCAUCCCUUGACGGUAUCUAACCAGAAAGCCACGGCUAACUACGUGCCAGCAGCCGCGGUAAUACGUAGGUGGCAAGCGUUGUCCGGAUUUAUUGGGCGUAAAGCGAGCGCAGGCGGUUUCUUAAGUCUGAUGUGAAGCCCCCGGCUCAACCGGGGAGGGUCAUUGGAAACUGGGAGACUUGAGUGCAGAAGAGGAGAGUGGAAUUCCAUGUGUAGCGGUGAAAUGCGUAGAUAUAUGGAGGAACACCAGUGGCGAAGGCGGCUCUCUGGUCUGUAACUGACGCUGAGGCUCGAAAGCGUGGGGAGCGAACAGGAUUAGAUACCCUGGUAGUCCACGCCGUAAACGAUGAGUAAAGGUGUUGGAGGGUUUCCGCCCUUCAGUGCUGCAGCA